AGUGAACGCUGGCGGCAGGCCUAAUACAUGCAAGUCGAACGGCAGCACAGCAGAGCUUGCUCUGUGGGUGGCGAGUGGCGGACGGGUGAGGAAUACGUGGGAAUCUGCCCAGUCGUGGGGGAUAACGUAGGGAAACUUACGCUAAUACCGCAUGCGCCCUUCGGGGGAAAGCCGGGGACCUUCGGGCCUGGCGCGAUUGGAUGAGCCCACGUCGGAUUAGCUAGUUGGCGGGGUAAAGGCCCACCAAGGCGACGAUCCGUAGCUGGUCUGAGAGGAUGAUCAGCCACACUGGAACUGAGACACGGUCCAGACUCCUACGGGAGGCAGCAGUAGGGAAUAUUGGACAAUGGGCGCAAGCCUGAUCCAGCCAUGCCGCGUGAGUGAAGAAGGCCCUCGGGUUGUAAAGCUCUUUGUCCGGAAAGAAAGCGCCGGGUUAAUACCCUGGUGUCCUGACGGUACCGGAAGAAUAAGCACCGGCUAACUUCGUGCCAGCAGCCGCGGUAAU
rnacentral:rRNA from 1 species